ACCUCAAUGUUGAAACUUUUCACAGAAACUUAUUGUAUGACUUCAGAAGACUUUGAAUACAACACAAAUACUUUUAAAUACUUUUAUAAUCUUUUUUUAAAAAGUAUUUUUCAAACUACAUAAUCUUAAAGCAAACCAAUCCCGGUCAAAGUGACUUGUUUUAAAGAAUCCCCACAUCCCCCAAUUCCCCCAGCAGCGUCUGGUAAACUGAUUGUUCUCUCUUUUUAUAUGUUAAUGGAACCAAUGUCUCUACAUUCCUGAGCAUUAUCACCUGGCUCUUCAACGCAACAGUACCAACAACUAACUGAGUCUCAUCCAAUCACGCUCCAGAUAGCUGGGUGGGGUUAUAUAUAUACUGUUUUCCUGACAGAAUCUUCAUUGAUUUUUUUUUUUUUUUUUUUUUUUGUGAAAUAAAAUUCUAAAACCUUGAAGGACAAACAGCUUUUUGAGAUUCCUACAUUGCCUACAAGGGACCACAUACAACAAAGCCUACUAAGGCCAUUUCUCAUCUCUUUUUUCCAUUCAAGACUGAAAAGGAAAAUGAGACCCAGAAGAGUCUGUCCUGAAAAGGAAGCUUUGAAAUUCAUCGCAUCUGGGAAAGAUAAAGACACAUUUCAGUCAAGAGUCAAGAGAAAGACUGUUGAUGAACAGAAAAGAGCACAUUUGUGUGCAUUUGUGACCACAAACAUCACUACAGGAGAAGAAAUGAUGUUCGACUGCGGAGAUCCUGACUGCUCAUGGAGACAGAUACAUUUCUAUUUCAAUUAGCU